GAUGAAGAACGUAGCGAAAUGCGAUAACUAAUGUGAAUUGCAGAAUUCCGUGAAUCAUCGAGUCUUUGAACGCACAUUGCGCCCCUUGGUAUCCCGAGGGGCAUGCCUGUUCGAGCGUCAUUUCACCACUCAAGCCUGGCUUGGUGUUGGGCGACGUCCCCUUUGGGGACGCGCCUCGAAACGCUCGGCGGCGUGGCACCGGCUUUAAGCGUAGCAGAAUCUUUCGCUUUGGAAGUCGGGGCCCCGUCUGCCGGAAGACCUACUCGCAAGGUUGACCUCGGAUCAGGCAGGGAUACCCGCUGAACUUAAGCAUAUCAAUAAGCGGAGGA
rnacentral:misc_RNA from 1 species